rnacentral:tRNA from 1 species
GUGGGCAUGCCGGAGUGUUUAUCGGGUAUAACUUGAAAUCAUGUGGGCUGGGUAUAACUUGAAAUCAUGUGGGCUUUGCCCGCGCAGGUUCGAAUCAUGCUGCUCACG